rnacentral:rRNA from 1 species
CCUACGGGUGGCAGCAGUGGGGAAUAUUGGGCAAUGGGCGCAAGCCUGACCCAGCAACGCCGCGUGAAGGAAGAAGGCUUUCGGGUUGUAAACUUCUUUUCUGGGGGACGAACAAAUGACGGUACCCCAGGAAUAAGCAACGGCUAACUACGUGCCAGCAGCCGCGGCAAUACGUAGGUGGCAGGCGUUAUCCGGAUUUAUGGGGUGUAAGGGGCGUGUGGGCGGGAAGGCAAGUCAGAUGUGAAAACUCAGGGCUCAACCCUGAGCCUGCCUUUGAAACUGUGUUUCUUGAGUGCUGGAGAGGCAAGCGGAAUGUCGGGUGUAGCGGUGAAAUGCGUAGAUAUACGGAGGAACACCGGUUGCGAAGGCGGAUUGCUGGACAGUAACUGACGCUGAGGCGCGAAAGCGUGGGGAGCAAACAGGAUUAGAUACCCCAGUAGUC